UCUCAAAGAAAGCAGAAGCGGUGUGAGAAGACACGUGAUCAGGUAGCACUACGACUUUUGUUGUCGUCUUCUUCAUUUCCCACGAUAACAGUACACCCGCGCAGCUCUCUAGCAGAAAAAGCAUCACGCGUUUUCGUCCUUUUGGCACGAGACGGAGCCACGUUGCUAGCCAAGAACAAUGAGAUUGAUCCAGCCGUCUGUUUCCCCUUUCCUAUUCUGGAAUGGGUCGUAAUUUCAAGAAAAAGGUGGUCUCUCCUUAAUGGUGAAACGAAUUCAAGUUUGAAUUUGAGAUGGGCCUUGAACCCUAAUUCCAUCCUUUUCCCCAGAAGUCUGCCCUAAUUUCUCUUAUAAAACCCUACCAUCAUCUUCUUUAGGGGGGUUAGAAAAAGCUUACAGGAGGGUGAUGAAAAAGUGAGAUGAAAUAUUGGAAUCAGCUAUCCCUUUAAAAUACAAGAUACGCACUAAAUUUCCAGCAAUACUAUGAUAUAAAAUAUUUAGGAUAGUUUUUAGAAAUCCAAAUUUUGGUCGAGCCCUUGUUCUCGUCGUACCCAGCUGCUGAUAGGAAUUCUAGGGAUCACGUCUUAGUGGCGAAAGAUCGUUUCCGUUCAGCUCGUUUGUUCUCUGUUCGCUUCUCAAAAAGAGUGUUGUUAUUCACUUGGAGAUGGAAUAUCAAGUUAGUCAUAUCAGGAGAUUUAGAGAGAUUUCCGUACCUUUUCUUUACUUUGAUAAAUAAAAUUGCAUGAGUUGUAUCGUUUCUUGUCCAUGCUUCAUUUUAAAUUCCUCGUUGACCUUUCAAUUUGGUAUACUGUCCUAGAUCACUAGCCUUGUAUUAGUGCUAAAUAUCUUUUAUGGCAUACAUUUAUUUUAUGAUUUCUUUCUUUUACUAUAAUUGGUUUAGUUGGUCAAAACAUGUAGAAAGUUAUCAAAGAGUUAUCAUGUGAUAUCCUUGAGUUCAAUUAGUCCUAAUUCAAUGUUUUCCCCUCACUGCAAUGCUUAGGCAGUAGCAUACUUUGGUUUUCUAUUCUUGUCUGCUUAUAUCAAACAGUUAUGAAUGACUACUUAUAAGUUUACAUCUUUUUGUCACAUGUAAAAAUUCGUAUCGAUUUCACCAUGAACUCCCACUUCCCCACCUCUUUCAUUUCGGUAGAGCCACAGAGGCUCAAAAUUUCUUCAUCGAGUUAAGCUCACAAAAUUGACGUACAGAUCGAGAAUCGAAGAGAUUGGGGCAAAGCCAACAUUUUAUUUCAUUUUUAGAUGUAUUUUGUUAGUUAUUAGGCCCAAAGCCUAAAGAAAAUAUUUAUCUUUUCAUGAUUAUUUUAGGACAGGUAUCUAAGGUGACAAAAUUGGGCCAAAAGCACAAAACGAAAAUGGGUCCAAAUAUCGGUUCAGGCGGACAGAAACCGGAUUCGGACCCAA